CGGACAUUUUUAUAACUAUGGGAUCAAAAUUAAAUUAUAUCCCAUCAGAAGACUUUUAGGAACAUUCCCGGAAGCUUAAUGAUUUUGUAUCAUGAUUUUUUGUCUUUUUUUUGUCUUUCAUUGAAACUACAAUAGAAUCAUGCAGGCUAAAACUUUAUUCAGUUUUAUUUUCAAGGUCAUAUAGUAUAUAUAUCAAUGCGUACGUGUUUCUAAAAGGACAUAUUGGCUACCAUCAUUAUUUAUAUUAUAUCUUCCAUUAUACAACA
rnacentral:lncRNA from 1 species